rnacentral:rRNA from 1 species
CGUUUCUUUGCUGGCGACCGGCGCACGGGUGAGUAACACGUAUCCAACCUGCCCUUUACUCGGGGAUAGCCUUUCGAAAGAAAGAUUAAUACCCGAUAGCAUAAUGAUUCCGCAUGGUUUCAUUAUUAAAGGAUUCCGUAAAGGAUGGGGAUGCGUUCCAUUAGGUUGUUGGUGAGGUAACGGCUCACCAAGCCUUCGAUGGAUAGGGGUUCUGAGAGGAAGGUCCCCCACAUUGGAACUGAGACACGGUCCAA